rnacentral:rRNA from 1 species
CAGUCGCCACGGGAAUACGUAGGGUGCAAGCGUUAAUCGGAAUUACUGGGCGUAAAGCGUGCGCAGGCGGUUUGUUAAGACAGAUGUGAAAUCCCCGGGCUCAACCUGGGAACUGCAUUUGUGACUGGCAAGCUAGAGUGUGGCAGAGGGGGGUGGAAUUCCGCGUGUAGCAGUGAAAUGCGUAGAUAUGCGGAGGAACACCGAUGGCGAGGGCGGCCAUCUGGGACAACACUGACGCUGAGGCACGAAAGCGUGGGGAGCAAACAGGAUUAGAUACCCCGGUAGUCCCUGUCUCUUAUAC